GGGGAAUCUUCCGCAAUGGGCGCAAGCCUGACGGAGCAAUACCGCGUGAGGGAUGACGGCCCUUGGGUUGUAAACCUCUUUUAUCAAGGAGGAAGUUCUGACGUGUACUUGAUGAAUAAGCAUCGGCUAACUCCGUGCCAGCAGCCGCGGUAAGACGGAGGAUGCAAGUGUUAUCCGGAAUCACUGGGCGUAAAGCGUCUGUAGGUGGUUCGAAAAGUCCACUGUUAAAAAUUGAGGCUUAACUUCAAAGAUGCCGUGGAAACUUUCAAACUAGAGUAUGGUAGGGGUAGAGGGAAUUUCCAGUGGAGCGGUGAAAUGCGUAGAUAUUGGAAAGACCACCGAUGGCGAAGGCACUCUACUGGGCCAAUACUGACAUUGAGAGACGAAAGCUAGGGGAGCAAAAGGGAUUAGAUACCCCUGUAGUC
rnacentral:rRNA from 1 species